rnacentral:rRNA from 1 species
AUUGAACGCUGGCGGCAGGCUUAACACAUGCAAGUCGAGCGGGGGAGGUUGCUUCGGUAACUGACCUAGCGGCGGACGGGUGAGUAAUGCUUAGGAAUCUGCCUAUUAGUGGGGGACAACAUCUCGAAAGGGAUGCUAAUACCGCAUACGUCCUACGGGAGAAAGCAGGGGACCUUCGGGCCUUGCGCUAAUAGAUGAGCCUAAGUCGGAUUAGCUAGUUGGUGGGGUAAAGGCCUACCAAGGCGACGAUCUGUAGCGGGUCUGAGAGGAUGAUCCGCCACACUGGGACUGAGACACGGCCCAGACUCCUACGGGAGGCAGCAGUGGGGAAUAUUGGACAAUGGGGGGGACCCUGAUCCAGCCAUGCCGCGUGUGUGAAGAAGGCCUUUUGGUUGUAAAGCACUUUAAGCGAGGCGGAGGCUACUGGUAUUAAUACUACCGGAUAGUGGACGUUACUCGCAGAAUAAGCACCGGCUAACUCUGUGCCAGCCGCCGCCGUAA